rnacentral:sRNA from 1 species
CUUUAGCCCCGAUUGAAGUGAAAACCCUUUUGUGCCGUCUCGCCUCAAAAGACAAGAGGCACAAAAGGUUGUAAUGGAAAACGGGACAAAUG